rnacentral:ncRNA from 1 species
GUAAAAACGAUGAUAGGGCAGUAAAGUUAUGAAUACUCUUUUUCAGCGAGCCAAGGAUAGUGGAAGCUUGGUAAAGACCAUAACUUGAAUAUCCCCCUUGAGUUCUUGCUUUGAACGCCGUAUGGUUAGUAAAUAAAAGCGGGUUAUUCACGAUACGAAUGUUAAGCGGACAUAAUGAUGUAUGUCUAUUAGGGUGGUACCGCGGGAGAACCUCUCGUCCCUUCU